rnacentral:tRNA from 1 species
GGAGAGAUCGCAUAGUUGGUCUAGUGCGCUCGCUUGGAAAGCGGGUAUCGUCGCAAGAUGAUCGCGGGUUCGAAUCCCGCUCUCUCCG